UCUGCGUUAGGAAGGCUAAUGAAGACGUGAAGUAGAAGCUGUAGCAGACACCCUCUAUCAAUAUGGCGUACGCUCAAGAAAUUCAGCUCCAAAUCAGAGGUGCCUCCACUGCUCCUCACCAUCUUUAGUCUCCUCUCGUGUAACCCUUCCUUUCUGGUGCUUAAUCUCGUGACAAUGGUUUAAAACUUUUAAACGGCUCUCGGUUUUGCAAAUUGCCCUCGUUUUCUCGAUGUUUAGUUGGUGUGGUUUUCUGCUUCCGCUCUAAUGAAGUUUGGAGUUUUGCGAGUGAAAUGGACGAGAAAGACGGUAUGUGCGUCUGAAAUGUCCAGCUUAGGAGCUGUUUCCAAGGAUCGAGUUCUGGCGCAUGGUAACCUAGAUGGUAUGUGCGUCUGAAAUGUCCAGCCUAGUUUGUUCUUGCUCUGGCUCGCUGGCAGCCGUCCUGAGCCAGCAAGACAGAGCUGUUGGGAUCAUCGCUCUUGUUCUUCUUCUUGUUGGGAUUUAUUUUAGGAGUUUCUUCAAACUUGGGCGAGGUAACCGCGUACAAGGAGUGCUCAAUAGAAAUAGAAAAUAGUUUUUCAGUUUCCAAAUAGAGAAAUACUAGUAGCAACCAUUAGAGGAAUAAAUAAAAAAUAUAUAGAGAAAGUGGGAAACAUCACUUCUCCAUGCAUGGGCCCUCUUAUUAUUUUUUUUUUGAGGGCACUCUUAGUCUUAUCUUCAUCAUAUAGUAGUGUGACUAGUGUCAUUGAAUUCAACACAAGUAAGACCAGAGUAGACGUAAGCAGGCUUAGCAACAACACAUAAGGCAUGGUCCACAGGCCCCAUCGCGUUGUAUUUUGC
rnacentral:sRNA from 1 species